rnacentral:lncRNA from 1 species
AGCUUCAGCAUAGGUCACAGAUGUGGCUUGGAUCUGGCUUUGCUGUGGCUGUGGUGUGGGCCUCAACUGCAGCUCUGAUUUGACCUCUAGGCCAAGAACUUGCAUAUUUUACAGGUGCAGCCAUUAAAAAAAAAAAAAAGAUACAUGCCUCCCAAUCUCAUUUCAGCACUAUUUACAAUAGCCAAGAAAUAGAAGCAACCUAAAUGUCCAUCAAUAGAGGACUGGAUGGAGAUGUGGUACAUAUAUAUAAUGGAAUAUUACUGAACCAUAAAAAGGAAUGAAAUAGUGCCAUUUAUAGCAACAUGGAUGGAUUUAGAGAUUAUCACACUAAGUAAAGUCAGAGAAAGAUAAAUAUCAUAUGAGAUUACUAGUCUGUGGAAUCUAAUAAAAAUGAUACAAAAGAACUUAGAAAACAUGGAAGUUCCCAUCGUGGCUCAGUGGCAAGGAGCCUGACUUGUAUCCAUGAGGAUGUGGGUUCGAUCCUUGGCCGUGCUCACUGGGUUAUGGAUCCAGUGUUUCCAUGAGCUGUGGUGUAGUUUGCAGACUCGGCUUGGAUCUAGUGUUGCUGUGGCUCUGGUGUAGGUCAGCAGCUACAGCUCCUUGUUUGAGCCCUAGCCUGGGAAUUUACAUAUGCUGCAGGUGCAGCCCUAAAAUUCCAAAAAAAAAAAAAAAAAAUUGCUUCAUUUCUUUCUUUCUCCCCCCGGCCCCACACUCAUGGCAUUUGUAAGUUCCCUGGCCAGGGAUCAAAUCUGAGCCACAACUACAACCUAUGCUACAGCGGCUGCAAUGCCAGAUCCUUAACCCACUGCACUACAGCAGGAACUCCAAAAUGUGCUUCAUUUCACUGGCUGGUCCUUUCUCCAGUCUGCAUGUGUGUCUCCUUCUACCUUUACACAGCAAUCUAUUCUAUUUAUCAGUGCCUUGACAAAACUCCAUUUUUGAGACCCCUCUUGUCAUUCUUGAGUUAUUUUCCCCUUUAAUUUCUUUAGACAGUGAAACUAAGGUCAGGUUUCUCAAGGAAGGAGAUAAUAAUUAAUAGGGAGGUAAAAUCGGCUUUUGUAAAAUCACUCGUGCUUUCAUGCACAUAUUGACCUGGGAUUUUUGCAGAGCUAUUUCUUUUCUAAUUCUUUUCUCAACUCUUUUUUAUGUCCACAUUUUUAAUUACUUUUAGGGAGUUCCCUGGUGGCCUAGUGGCUAAAGAUCCAGCAUUGCCACUGUUGUGGCUCAGGUUCAAUCCCUGGCCUGGAAACUUCUGCAUGAUCUGGGUGUGGCAAAAAAAUUAAAACAUUUUUUAAACUAAAUAAAAUUACUUUUAAAUUGAGGCAUGAUAUGAAUAUAGCAAAGUGUCUAAGAAGUUCCCUGGUAGCCUAGCAGUUAAGGAUUCAGUGUUGUCACUGCAGUGGCACAGUUGUUCCCUGGCCCGAGAAAUUCUGCGUGCCAUAGGCACGGCCAAAACAAUCAUGUGUCUAAAUUGCCCAAUAUUUAUAUGUGAAAUUAAUGCAUUUAAACUUAUAUACAACUAUGUAUUUAUAAUUUUUUGUUUUCUUUCCACGAUUGAGGAAAUAAAACAUGUCACAGAAAAUGUAGUUAAUUAUGUUAUUUGAUCACUUUAGAUCAACAUUCCCAAACUUUUUGCUCUCUAAAAAUGAUUAAGGCUCUUUUUUUUGCAGGGGAGCACACCUGUGGCAUAUGGAAAUUCUCAGGCUAGGGGUCAAAUCAGAGCUAGAGCUGCCAGCCUAUGCCACAGCCACAGCUACACCAGAUUCCAGUCACAUCUGUGACCUACAUAAUAGCUCAUGGCAAUGCCAGAUCCUUAACCCACUGAGCAAGGCCAGGGAUUGANCAUAGGCCGACAAAUUAAAUCUGAAAAAGUUUUAAAAUAAGACUACAAAACACGUACUCCUUUUGAUUUUGGAAUAGUCGACAUCAUGGAAAACUACUGCCUACUUGCAAGAGGAUGAGGGUGAAAAAGGCAACCAAUGUCUCGGAAUUACUAUGAAAAUAGUUAUUAUUAUGAAAACAGUUUUCACCUCACAUACUCCCUGAAAGAGGCUUGAGUUUUUCCAUCAAUCUUCAAGAAGUAACACUUUAAAAAUUACCCUUCAAAACCUCAGUUUCUAUAUCUACAUAAGAUGACAUUAGACUAGAUAAUUUCAUUUUUGUUUUUGUUUUUAAGGCCGAACCUGCAGCACAUGAAAGUUCUCAGGCUAGGGGUCGAGUGGGCGCUGCAGCUGCCGCCCUACACCACAGCCACAGCAACACCAGAUCCAAGCCGCAUCUGCAACCCACACCACAGCUCACAGCAAUGCCAGAUCCUUAACGCACUGAGCGAGGCCAGGAAGCAAACCCAUAGCCUCACGGAUACUAGUCAGGUUCCUUACAACUGAGCCACAACAGGAACUCCUGACUUCUGCUUUUUCUCCCUUUAAGUUCACAAAACACUUUGCCACAUUCGGUUAUUUUCUUUCCAAUCCUGUGAGACAGUAGACUAAAUCCUGUGCUACAGAGAACACAAGGAAAGCAGUGACUGAUAUUUCAAGAUCAGCCCUGCAGGCUUCCUUAACCUCGUCGGGGGCCACAGAGGCCUGACGUGGAGGGAGGCUUCCUGCUGAGGUCACAUAUGGGAUCCCCAUUCUGCUUCCCCAGAGCACUUUGACUUUUUGUCCAUUUUGUGUGGUGGUGUUCCUCAUAGGCAGCUGUGGAAAACAGUUUUGCAUUUGUUCAAAAGGUUAAACGUAGGCGUUCCCGCUGUGGAGCAGGGGCUUAAGAAUCUGGCUGCAGUGGCUCAGGUCACUGCAGAGGUGCAGGUUCAAUUCCCGGCCUGGCUCUGCAGUGGGGUAAAGGAUCCAGAGUAGGCCGCAGCUGUGGCUUGGAUUCAAUCUCUGGCCCAGGAACGUCCAUUAAAAAAAAAAAA